AUUGAACGCUGGCGGCAGGCCUAACACAUGCAAGUCGAGCGAGAGGCGGACGGGUGAGUAAUGUCUGGGAAACUGCCUGAUGGAGGGGGAUAAAUACUGGAAAAGGUAGCUAAAACCGCAUACCAUCAGAUGUGCCCAGAUGGGAUUGGCUCGUAGGGGGGGUAACGGCUUAACUCGGCGACGAUCCCUAGCUGGUCUGAGAGGGUGACCAGCCACCCUGGAACUGUGACACGGCCCAGACUCCUACGGUGGGCAGCAGUGGGGAAUAUGGCACAAUGGGCGAAAGCCUGAGGCAGCAACGCCGCGUGAGUGAAGAAGGCCUUCGGGUUGUAAAGCACUUUCAGCGGGGAGGCGUUACCCGCAGAAGAAGCACCGGCUAACUCCGUGCCAGCAGCCGCGGUAAUUC
rnacentral:rRNA from 1 species